AGAGUUGAUCAUGGCUCAGGAUGAACGCUGGCGGCAGGCUUAAUACAUGCAAGUCGAACGGUAAGGUCCGAAGUGGCAACACCGAGGAUACACGAGUGGCGCACGGGUGCGUAACGCGUAUGCAACCUGCCCCCAACCGGGACAAAACAGCUGGAAACGGCUGCUAAUAUCCCAUGGUCACUUGGAAGGGCAUCCUUCCGGGUGUAAAGAUUCAUUGGUUGGGGGAUGGGCAUGCGUAUUAUUAGGUAGUUGGCGGGGUAACGGCCCACCAAGCCGACGAUGAUUAGGGGUCCUGAGAGGGUUAACCCCCCACACUGGAACUGAGACACGGUCCAGACUCCUACGGGAGGCAGCAGUAGGGAAUAUUGGGCAAUGGAGGCAACUCUGACCCAGCCAUGCCGCCGUGAAGGAAGACGGCCCUAUGGGUUGUAAACUUCUUUUGCCGCAGAGUAAACACGGGGACGUGUCCCCGUUUGAGAGUAUGCGGCGAAUAAGUAUCGGCUAACUCCGUGCCAGCCGCAGC
rnacentral:rRNA from 1 species